rnacentral:rRNA from 1 species
GGGUCGGUAGGUUGGUCGUGCCACCGGUACGUACUGGUCUCACUGAUUCCUCCUUCCUGAAGAACCGUAAUGCCAUUAAUUUGGUGUUGCGGGGAAACAGGACUGUUACUUUGAAACAAUUAGAGUGUUUAAAGCAAGCUAACGCUUGAAUACAUUAGCACGGAAUAAUGAAAUAGGACGAUCGAUCCUAUUUUGUUGGUUUCUAGGAUUGACGUA